UAUCUGUUAAUGUUUAACAUUUAAUCAACGAAAAAACAGAGCCAAUAUUGUGGUGGGGGAUUUGUCCUUCCAAACAAGCCUGGUCUCAGGUCACUCCAAGCAGUAGGAGAGGUAGGAUGUGUCUUCGCGCAAAGUCUUUUUUUCGAUCGUGUCACAGCGUGAUGGAGUGUUCGCUGGAACAGCGGUACGCGAUAAAGUUUUGUGUGCGACUUGGGAAGAAUGCAAUGGAAACUCAUCACAUGCUUCAAGACAACUUUAAGGAGGAAUGCAUUUCGAGAUCUCAGUGUGGAAGGAGGUCUGGAGAAUGUCACCGACGAGCCUUGUUCUGGACGUUCAACAUCAGCCUGACCUAAUGAAAACGUCCAUUGUGUGCGUGAAGUUUUGAAGUCAGAUAGUCGGUUAAGCAUUCAGGCAAUCGCUAACGCCCUGAACUAGUCAAAAUGUGUGGUACAUGGGAUUGUGAUGGAGGAUUUGCAAAUGCAAAAGGUCUGUGCGUAGCUUGUGCCAAAGGUGUUGACGGAGGAGCAAAAAGAAGUUCGAGUUUUGCGCAGUUCGAGAAUUGCUGGAAUUGAGUUGGUGCCCCAGCCUCCCUACUUGGCGCUGUGUGGCUUUUUUUUUUGCUCCCCCGACUGAAGGGAAAACACUGGGAGUCGGUGGAGAACAUCCAAGCUCAUGUUACAAGGUUCCUGAGAGGCAUUUCUGUCGAUGAGUUUGAGGGUGCCUUCCAGACGUGGCAGAAUCGUCUCCGCGAGUGUAUUGAUGCACAAGGGAACUAUUUUGAAGAAUUUUAACCAUUUGUACCCAUAGGAUCAAUAAAUCUAUUUUUCCCAGAAAAUGCGCAUUACUUUCAGAAUGCACCCUGUAUGCUUCAAUUUACGGAACAUACGUUGCAUUUUAAUUUGCAAAUCAUAUGUUGUACAUAAUUUACGUGAUCUGUAAGACUUGCUUUAUGUUUCAUGUCAUUUUAUUUACAGGCAACAUAUCACAAUUUAUAUAUGCCUGUUUUAAGAAACCAGGCAUAGUGAAUUAUUGUACUGUAAAAAUUUAAGCAAUCACGUUUUGAAAUUUAUCUAUUAUAAGGAAACUAUAGUUUUGUAAAUCUUAAGUUGUUAUCUGUCAAAAUAUUGUACUACAAAGAAAUUUAUUAUGUCCAAAAUACUUUACUGAUAUUCUGAGGUAUUGUGUUUUUAAAAUUAAAACAGACAUGCUUAAUAUUAGUUUUCAAAUUCUAAUAUGCUUCAUAAAUUUUUAAUGAAAAGUCCUACUGGUUCCAGUCUUUAAAAGUUUGCGUGUAUGCUAAUGUCAAUUAGAGAAUUUUUGCUAAUCUUCAAACUUAAUUAAACCACAAUGCAACUGUCAAAUCAUUUGUGUUGGUAGAUGUGAACAACAGAAAUUAAAAAAUUGCUAGAACUAUUAAACAAUGUGAAAUUGAUACAAUUAAUAUAUGCUUCAAUGUUAUAAAAUCUUGUUGACAUGUAUUUCAGCAUACUGACUGUUACUGAGUAGGUCCUUCAAAGUCAUUAAAAAAUCCUAACAGGAUUAUUAUUUUUUUUAUUUAUUUUGAAAAUUGAAUGGGAGUGAAUUUGAGGGUGGUAAAUUUUGAAAUUGAGUAAAUUUUGAAAAUUGAGAUUUUCAAUGAAUUCUGUAUUGAAACCUUCAUUGUUUAAGCGAAAGAAUUAAGCUAGUAUUUUUCGUAACCUCAUUUCUAUUGAAUAUUUGCAUAAAAAUAAGUGAUAAAAAAUAUAUUUUCUUAUAUAUUUAAUUUAUUAUUUUUAUUGAUUCUUUUUAAAAAUGCACAUUUUUAUAAUAUUUUAGAUAUUUUUAAAAAUUUAAUCUAUAGGUUUUGCUUCUUUAAUCAAUUUGAAUCAUGCAUGUGUAUUUGGUGUUUUGUAACAUUUAAGAAAUUGUUUUUUUGGCAUUUGUGUCAGUCUUGUUCUCUUCAUUUUAUUUCAUGUCUUAUUUUUAAUUAAAUAAUUUUUGACUUUCAGGUCUCUAAUCCAAGUACUGCUAAUGAUAAAAAAAUCUCACUGGCCACAUUGAUGUUUUCUUUGUUGAAUUUGGAUAUAAUAUAAAGGUUGGAGGAUAUCCUUUACUAUUAGAGGUGAGCUACACCGAUUCUCUUCUAACGGAUUAGCAUUUGAAUCCCAGCCCUCCUUCUUCUACCAGUUCCUCUUGUAGGUCAACGUCUUCUUCUGUAUCCAUAACUCCAGCCAGAUUCAGAAGGUGACAGAAACAUACGUUACUACGAAAUAGUUAACGAACCACCCUGGUGUCAUUAUUUAUAUAAAGUUUUGACAGGCUUCCCGCUGCGGGGCCUCUGAAUCAUGCCCGAAAAAGGUCUGGAUGUUUUGCGAUGUGAAAUAUUUUGUUUCUACAAACUGCAUGCUGUCAAACCACUCUGUGAAACGAUUUAUAUGAUUGUGCCGAGAAAAUCUGAUCAAUUUCAAGAAGAUUUGUUCCUGACACUGCUGCACCUACUCCAUCACUUACAGCUAAAGAAUGGCUGAAUGGAAAAAAACAGAAAUCCUAUUCUGAUAUCCAUGUAUGUAGGAUAACGGCACUGAUUCGCUUUCAGGAUUUGAAUCCCAACCCUUCAUCUUCUCUUCUGUCUUCUACCAGUUCAUCCUGUAAGUCAACUUCUUCCUCUAUAUCCACAGCUUCAGCCAGACUCAGAAGUAAGCUAUUUAUUUGUCUGUUUUAUUUUAUUCUAAAGGCCUUUUCUCAUCCUAAUUUUU